rnacentral:lncRNA from 1 species
GGAGCUUACAAAAUAUUCCUUGAGGUUAGGAAGAAAGACGUCCUUUGAAGAUAAAAGGGCAUCUCCAUUUCCGAACUCACUUUCUAAUUUCAUGCUGUACAGGAAGCAUAAUGCUGGCAUCUGCUCGGCUUCUGGGGAGGCCUCAGGAAACUUUUAAUCACUGCAGAAGGCAAAGGGGAAACAGGCAAGACUUACUUGGCAGGAGGAGAAAGGGGUGAGGCGGUG